UACGGAGGAUGCAAGCGUUAUCCGGAAUGAUUGGGCGUAAAGCGUCCGCAGGUGGCUAUGUAAGUCUGCUGUUAAAGAGUGAGGCUCAACCUCAUAAAAGCAGUGGAAACUACAUGGCUAGAGUGCGUUCGGGGCAGAGGGAAUUCCUGGUGUAGCGGUGAAAUGCGUAGAGAUCAGGAAGAACACCAGCGGCGAAGGCGGGUAGCUGGGCCAACACUGACGCUGAUGUGCGAAAGCUAGGGGAGCAAACGGG
rnacentral:rRNA from 1 species